rnacentral:tRNA from 1 species
UCCGAAUUGGUGUAGUGGCCAACAUUUGACGCUCUCAAGAAAGAAGUACCGUCAAGCCCGGGGUUCGAUUCCCCGAUUCGGAG